rnacentral:rRNA from 1 species
GAUGAACGCUGGCGGCGUGCCUAAUACAUGCAAGUCGAGCGAACAGACGAGGAGCUUGCUCCUCUGACGUUAGCGGCGGACGGGUGAGUAACACGUGGAUAACCUACCUAUAAGACUGGGAUAACUUCGGGAAACCGGAGCUAAUACCGGAUAAUAUAUUGAACCGCAUGGUUCAAUAGUGAAAGACGGUUUUGCUGUCACUUAUAGAUGGAUCCGCGCCGCAUUAGCUAGUUGGUAAGGUAACGGCUUACCAAGGCAACGAUGCGUAGCCGACCUGAGAGGGUGAUCGGCCACACUGGAACUGAGACGCGGUCCAGACUCCUAAGGGAGGCAGCAGUAGGGAAUCUUCCGCAAUGGGCGAAAGCCUGACGGAGCAAGGCCGCGUGAGUGAUGAAGGUCUUCGGAUCGUAAAGCUCUGUUAUUAGGGAAGAACAAAUGUGUAAGUAAAUAUGCACGUCUUGACGGUACCUAAUCAGAAAGCAACGGCUAACUACGUG